GACGAACGCUGGCGGCGUGCUUAACACAUGCAAGUCGAACGGAAAGGCCCUGCUUUUGUGGGGUGCUCGAGUGGCGAACGGGUGAGUAACACGUGAGUAACCUGCCCUUGACUUUGGGAUAACUUCAGGAAACUGGGGCUAAUACCGGAUAGGAGCUCCUGCUGCAUGGUGUGGGUUGGAAAGUUUCGGCGGUUGGGGAUGGACUCGCGGCUUAUCAGCUUGUUGGUGGGGUAGUGGCGUACAAAGGCUUUGACGGGUAGCCGGCCUGGGAGGGUGACCGGGGACAUUGGGACUGAGAGACGGACCAGACUGCUACGGGAGGCAGCAGUGGGGAAUGUUGCACAAUGGGCGGAAGCCUGAGGCAGCAACGCCGCGUGCGGGAUGACGGCCUUCGGGUUGUAAACCGCUUUCGCCUGUGACGAAGCGUGAGUGACGGUAAUGGGUAAAGAAGCACCGGCUAACUACGUG
rnacentral:rRNA from 1 species